CUACGGGAGGCAGCAGUAAGGAAUAUUGGUCAAUGGAGGCAACUCUGAACCAGCCAUGCCGCGUGAAGGAUGAAGGCCCUAUGGGUUGUAAACUUCUUUUAUACGGGAAGAAACUUCAUACGUGUAUGAAGCUGACGGUACUGUAAGAAUAAGGAUCGGCUAACUCCGUGCCAGCAGCCGCGGUAAUACGGAGGAUCCAAGCGUUAUCCGGAUUUAUUGGGUUUAAAGGGUGCGUAGCGG
rnacentral:rRNA from 1 species